rnacentral:rRNA from 1 species
CCUACGGGAGGCAGCAGUGAGGAAUAUUGGUCAAUGGACGCGAGUCUGAACCAGCCAAGUAGCGUGAAGGAUGACGGCCCUAUGGGUUGUAAACUUCUUUUAUGUGGGAAUAAAACGUGCCACGUGUGGCAUUUUGCAGGUACCAUAUGAAUAAGGAUCGGCUAAUUCCGUGCCAGCAGCCGCGGUAAUACGGAGGGUCCGGGCGUUAUCCGGAUUUAUUGGGUUUAAAGGGAGCGUAGGCGGACUGUUAAGCGAGUUGUGAAAUGUGGCGGCUCAACCGUAGAAUUGCAGUGGAAACUGGGAGUCUUGAGUGCGGCAGAGGUGGGCGGAAUUCGUGGUGUAGCGGUGAAAUGCUUAGAUAUCACGAAGAACUCCGAUUGCGAAGGCAGCUUACCGGAGCGUAACUGACACUGAGGCUCGAAAGUGCGGGUAUCGAACAGGAUUAGAUACCCGGGUAGUC